UUACUUUUCUUUUGAACUAACAACUUUAUAAUUUUUCUCAAAAAAAUAAUUCCGCCCAAAUCCACUGUUAUCUUCUUGGUUUCCCUUUUUCAUCUAUUCAUAUUAAUCAACUUCAUGUAUAUAAACAAUCUUCUAUCAUAAGAGUAUAGUAAUAUGUGGCUCUUAUGCACCAUGUUGCCCCAAUGGUAGUUGCAACUCUUAUGCACCAUGCUGCCUCAAAUGGUGCUUUGCGAGUUAUGGUGUUAUUUUUUUCUCCCUUUUUUCCUUUACAUUUUUGCAUAUUAAUUUAUCAAUCAAACUUGUCUGAAUUUUUAUUUGUAUUCUUGUGUUGCAGCAACAAGAACAACAAGAACAAUUGGAACAGCACCUGCAACAACAAGAACAUGAAGUAGGCGAGGAGGAAGGAGGAGAAAAGGAAGAGACUAAUGACAACAAUGAUAAUGGUGGUGAUGUGUACAAGGAGGAUGGAGAUACCCAUAAUUAAUGAACAUGAGAAUGACUUUUGAUGAUAAUGAUGAUCACAAUGCUCAAUAUUGUGAUUAUAACACACUCUAAACAUUUUGAAUACAAAGUGUGUAUUAAAGUAUCUUUCUUCGAUAUUAUUUUCCAAGCAAGAGAACAAUCUUGGUGUC